rnacentral:lncRNA from 1 species
CAGGCUUUCAACUUCAAUAGAUGCUUUGAAGGGGCUCGACUUGAUCUUGAUACCAUCAAUGGUGGCGGCACUGCCCUUCGGGACCAAUAUCACUAACCUACAGUCAUUAUCAUAAGCUCCAAUUUCCUCCAUUUCUUCAGUUUUUGCUAAUCCUAACUAUGGAACAAGGUACUCCUUUUACAUUUUUUCUUUAAUUUUCAACUCAGAAUAUUUAUACGUUUUCAGGUUGGCGGGGCGACCGUCCAGUCACUAAGCUACCAAAAAAAAUAAGGGUAAACCAAUGUGGUCAUGACAUCUUAGGUGCUUGUGAAGGAAUGGAUGUGACCUGCAGUCAUCAAACUAUCAAACAUGUUUGGUUUUUCUUAGCUAUUUUUGACAGUUUUUAGAGCACUCGAGUUCUCACUUUCUUGUUUUUAAGAUACUCAAAUUGUAGUUUUGGGCACGAGCUACAAGCACUAGGUAGGUCUUUUUGGACAAAAACCUUAAAAAUAAGUUUUAGUCAUGUGCUUAGCACCCAACUCAGUUUUAUAAAGCUAUUUUAGUCAAUUUAUUUCUUUAGAGUAAUUUAAAAUCAAAAGGAAAAGAUAAAAGAAUAACCAUUAAAAUAUAAAUAGUCUUCUUCCACAAACAACCAUUCCUUCUAUUACCAGAGAGUUCGCCAGCAGCCUAUACUUUGGUCGCCUUCACCCUCUCCCCAAGUCUUCUCUUGGUUCUCGCAAAACCAAGAAGGAGAAAUCCUUCCAAGUUCGUGGGAGAUGUUGGGAUUGGGGGAUAGAGGUGAAGGUUGUAGAGGUUUAGGUCAGUGUCAAUCCACGAGUUUUUCUUCCUUUUCUUCUACCGCAUUCGUUAAAAG